GGCUGGGUAGCUCAACGGUAGAGCAGCUCUGUCAUAAAGAGAAGGUUUGUGGGUCCGAAUCCCACCCCAGCCA
rnacentral:tRNA from 1 species